AUUGAACGCUGGCGGCAGGCCUAACACAUGCAAGUCGAGCGGAUGACGGGAGCUUGCUCCUUGAUUCAGCGGCGGACGGGUGAGUAAUGCCUAGGAAUCUGCCUGGUAGUGGGGGACAACGUUUCGAAAGGAACGCUAAUACCGCAUACGUCCUACGGGAGAAAGCAGGGGACCUUCGGGCCUUGCGCUAUCAGAUGAGCCUAGGUCGGAUUAGCUAGUUGGUGAGGUAAUGGCUCACCAAGGCGACGAUCCGUAACUGGUCUGAGAGGAUGAUCAGUCACACUGGAACUGGGACACGGUCCAGACUCCUACGGGAGGCAGCAGUGGGGAAUAUUGGACAAUGGGCGAAAGCCUGAUCCAGCCAUGCCGCGUGUGUGAAGAAGGUCUUCGGAUUGUAAAGCACUUUAAGUUGGGAGGAAGGGCAGUAAGUUAAUACCUUGCUGUUUUGACGUUACCGACAGAAUAAGCACCGGCUAACUCUGUGCCAGCCGCCGCAGUAA
rnacentral:rRNA from 1 species